ACAGAAACACAAAAUCAGAGAAGCCUAACACGCUCUGCCUUCUCCUUCCUCCAAAAUGCAGACCACGCUCAGCCGUUCCCCACACGCAAAUCGCAGCUCAACGUCUCCACCUUCAGUCCAAAACGUAGGCCACCAUCAGUCCUUCUCUCCCACAACUCAACGGCUCCACCUUCUCCGGCACCACCCUUCUCCAGCUCCAUAUUUGUCGGCUUCGGUUUUUUUUUUUCAGACCAGAUUCUCUCCGCAAACAUUAUCGGAAGAGAGAUGCAAAUAAGAUGCUUAGUGAAGUGCAAAACAGGAAUUCUUGGAAGACCUCCAUGGACAGUGAGCAUAUGUGGAAUAGACCCCAGCUUCUUUUCCAGUGUCCUUCUGCAACUUUGGCUUUGCUGUUUGUCUACAACUUUUAUUUGUUAGUUGUGUGAAGGACUGAACCUAUAAAGUUUAGAAGCUGUCUACAAAUUCCAACAAUAGCAAAUUGAAAAGCAAAGGUGCAAUGAGAGUUAAAGAUGUGUGCAUUGUUUUCAGAAUUACUUGCGAUGUGCAAACAAUAGAAGAGUGAGCUUAUCUUCAUUCUCAUGAAGUUCUCUUUUCUCCUCCAUUUGAUGUUAAUAGUUUUAGAAUUAAUCCCAUUUAAAUUUGAUGAUUUGUCUACACAAAUCUGAUGGACUAUUCUGUGCAUUGUUAUAGAUCUUGACUCAAUAUUGUUCAAAAUCCUAAAUUCCUUGAUGUGUGGUCUGCCAAAUUUUCUUUUGAAAGUCAAAUUACUUUGAAAUUUUCUUAGGAUUUAUCAAUAUGUUCAAAUUUAUUAUUUA